GAUCACUGUAAUACCAAAUUGUUGGCAUUUGUUUUAUUUUCCAAAGCCAGAUCAUUUGUACUUCUCUUAAUAUUUUGGCUUUGGAACUUUGUUGUUGAUACAGAUAAUUUAUCUCCUUAUUGCCCUGUUUCCCUUAUUGCUGCCCUGCAUUUAGCUGCAAUUUGCUUUAAUUGAGUCAUCCCCAUGAUCAUGGAGAAUUUGUUCAGUAUUUUGAUGUUUACCUAUAAUCUCAUUUUGGAUUGUUUAUCUUGAUAAUUAACAUUAUUGCAUGAAGACCCAGUUGAGAAAAAAUAUUAUGUGGGAAAUUCAUUUUUUAAUAAAAGCUGAGUGUCAAAACCUGGAAUUUCUCUUCAUCCUUAAAAGGCUUGUAAAUAAAGACAGUUCAGUUGAAGAAACUAUACUCUUAAAGUCUAAUAUUUUUGGAAAUCAGAUUUGAGUCUUUGGGAUUUUGAAAUUUACAUAAAUAAUCUGGACUCUCAGCAAGCCUGAAUAAACAAUCACUAUUUGAUGGGAUAAUUUAAAGAGCGCAACUUAAUAUUGCAGUGGUAAUUUUGAAUCAAUAAACAGGAAUAUAAUCAGAUUGGGGAAUAUAUAAAUCUCUGUCAGUUCAGUGAAACCUACCAGCAGUGAGAGAAAAGAUAAAAGUGUAAAAAUCAGAUUGAAUUUUGGUUGAAGGCAUAUCUGCUUUGCCUCUGACUAGCAACAUGAAAUUGGUUAAGUUAUUCAACCUCUCUACAUUUCAGUUUCAGGAAAUGAAGUGGACAAAGAAGAUCAUCAUUAAGCAAUCUGUACCUCCAAUAUUCUAUAUUAUGUGGAGAUAUCAAGUCUGUAUUUGAUUACACAAAUCAUAGUUCCAAAAGAGUUCAGAAUGAGACAUAUAGAAUUGAAAGUCCUAUUUAUACAGAUACUGGUUAAAGCCCAGGGAUUAGAUGGGUUUAAAAUGCUUUAUCCCUAUAUAGAAAAGAGUACAGGCCCAGGAAAGGCCCCAGGGGCAUACCAUGAUUGGGCCGAGGAGCCAGUAAGAGAGUUUCAGUGACUAAGGAGACGCAAGGAGAGGAUGAGGUUUCUGAAACCAGGAGAAGAAAGCCUUCAUCAUAGAAGCAAGCAAUAAACUUCACUGAACACUUCUAAGACAUUUUGGACAAGAACAGAAGAUUUACCUUUGGAUUUUACUGCAUGUAGCUUAACAAAAGUUCAUAAAGGCAGUGACAAUGAAAGCUCAAUUAGAGUGGUCUGAGGAGGGAACUCAGGUGAUGAAGUAGAGAAUGCGACUAUAGAUGGCUCUUUCCAUAAGUUUUACUUUUAAAGGUAGCAGAGAACUAGAGUAGAGCUGCAGACAUAGUUCCCCCUCCUCCCCCUCCUCCAUCUCCAGUUUCUUCUUUCCAUGAGUGCAACAGAAUGAAAUUUAGAGCAUAAUCCUGUAGAAGGUAAGAAAUUAAUGAUGCAGGAAAGAGAUUGAAUAAUUGUCCAAAAUAAACAAAUCCUCAAGCAAUGCAAGGCAGUGGGCUCUAGCACACAAAGGGGUUGACAUCUGAUAGGAAUUUAGUUGUUUUAUCCACAUAACAGUUAUUUUUUCAGAGAAAAUCUAAUUGCAAAAAUAUAGCUGAAAACCAAACAUUAGCCCUAUGUGUGUGGUAACUUCUGAUGUAAAAUGCAUUUCUCAGUAUAGGUCCUGGUCAAAAAUCUUAAAAGUAAAAUACCUUGAGGGAACUACAGUUAGAAGACAGCAGGAUGAAGGAUAAUCAUCAGAAAGAAUACAAAGUGGGUCAGGCAUGGUGGUUCAUGCCUGUAAGCCC
ensembl:lncRNA